rfam:Nelumbo nucifera unplaced genomic scaffold scaffold00067, whole genome shotgun sequence
AGCCGCGCGGUGAGUACAYAGCGAACUAUUCUUUCGCCUUUUACUAAAGAAUACCGUGUACUCGCCGCAUUCAGCGGCAUACGCCUAUUUUUGGAGGGCUUUUCCAUCUUUUGGAAU